rnacentral:ncRNA from 1 species
AUCUUGGUUGAUCUGCAGUAGUCAUGAUGCUUGUCUCAAAAGAUUAACCAUGCAUGUCUAAGUACAAACCUUAAUACGUGAAACCGCUGAAUGCUCAUUAAAUCAGCUUAUGGUUCCUUAGAUCGUCUCAAUCCUAACUCGAUAACUGUGGAAAAACCUAGAGCUAAACGUGGCUUAUCAAGCCCUGAACCAUCACGGAGGGCGCAAUUUAUUAGUAUCAAAACCAUCGGGGCUUGCCCCGUCUGCUUGGUGACCUUUGGGGAUAUAACUUUUGUGCUGACGGCAAUGGCCUCUGCGCUGGCGACGUUACUUUCAAGUGUCGCCUAGUCAAACUUACGAUGGUAAGUGAUAUGCUAACAUGGUUAUAAGGUAACGGGAAUCAGGGUUUUCGAUCCGGGGAAGGAGCUGAGAAACGCUACCACAUUCUAAGGAAGGCCAGCAGGCGCGGCAAAUUACCCACUCCGCACGGGGGUAGUGACGAAAAUAACGUACGGGAUACUUUGAGCCCCUAAUUGGAAUGGUACAUCUUUAAAUGUCCGUUAACAUGAGUAUUGUAUUGGAGGGCAAUCUGGUGCCAAGCAGCCUGCGUAAUUCCAGCUCCAAGUAAGCGUAUAUUAAGUUGCUGGCAAGUUAAAAAGCUGUAGUUUGAUCUGAGGACAUCGAAUUGGGGUGCAUCCAUACGGUGUUACUGCCGAUUUCGCCUAACUAGUCGGUGCUCGCUCUUGGUGUUCUUAAUUGAAUG